rnacentral:tRNA from 1 species
GGGCCUGUAGCUCAGUUGGUAGAGCGCCACGUUUACACCGUGGAUGUCGUCGGUUCGAGUCCGGCCGGGCCCA